CCUGCGGGUAACUCACGGGUUGGAUCUCACAUCACACGCUCUGCUUCUGUGCAGGAGGCGUCCGCGGUCGUCGUCGUCAUCAUCAUUUCGAUCUGCUUCUGACCUAACCACCACCACCACCACCACCAACUUGCUGCCCCUUCCUCGUUUGCUAUUCUCCAAUCCACCAUACGGCGACGGAUCCGAUCGAGAUCGGCAACGGCGGAUUAGGGACGAGGGGCUGAGAGCGGCGAGAACAAGAGGACGCGGCUGCGGCGUUGGGGUGUGGGCGGAGGGGAAAGCCAAGAGGAAGGAUGAAUUGGAUCAGCCGGAAAAUCCACCUCUACAACGUCACCAUGGGUCUCUACAUGCUCGAUUGGUGGGAGCGCUACCUUUUCACUCUCGGGGUUUAGAUAUCUUGAUUCUUGUCUUGCUCUGGUUCAUCUUCUACAAUGGAACCAAAUCCGCCACCGAGUUCUACGACAGUUUUCUUAAGCCGAAGCUCAAUGCUUACCACUCUGUAGCUGAAGGAAAAAUACCUUCCUAAUGGCAACUAAUGGGGAAAGAGGAUGACGGAUUUAAUUUAUGUGAUGUUCUCGUCGUUCAUCCUGGAUGACGGCAGUUGUUUAAGUCUUAGACAUCUGUAUAGUAAAUUCCAUUGGGAGGUUUAGUUUGAUGCCAUUUGUUUCUACAAUAAAUUGCUGUUUUCUUUGUUCCUGUUUGGAAUCAUUUAAGUGAGAAAUAGUGCUUCAUUUAUUGUACCAAGUAACUAAGCUUCAGUUUCUUUGGAUCAAGAAACUGGACCAGAUUAGAAUCCAAAAACUAUGACCAUUUAUCAUUAGUUGUA